AUAAUUUAAAGUUAAUCUUUGACCAGACUUUACACACAAAAUAAUUCUCAGAUUUGAUCUCUAGCCACCGUCGAAUGAAGCCUCACCACCACACUCCUUUUGACACCGUCGCUCGUUACCACCAGCAGCAGCAGCUCAUCACCACCAUCCGCCAUCUCUCUCUCUGUGCUGUGUUUGUUUCAGAGCUCCCUGCAUCACGCUGCAAUCUGGUUCAGACACUCCUAAAUGUUGCAGCUGAGCAGCCAGAUAUGGAGAGGCACAUUUUACUUGACGUCAACACGCUCUACAAACAAUCAGACACUCUCCUUAAGUUGUCCCAUAUUCAACAGACAGGUCAUGGGUUCAGCGAAUCACACUCAAGUUCGUUUAUGCUUUAUAUGGUUUGAGUUGAGUUAAAGUUCGGUUCUUUAAUUAUGUGUGUUGCACAAGUCCAAGAGGGAUGACUCUUCCAAAACUAUGUCCCAACGUUUGCAAGGUGGUGGUCGUGACUCGUGAGCAAGAGCUGGUGUUGUGCAGAGGAGAUGUCUGGAACUCGUCUCCGUCUAGACUCACACGAAUGUUGCAGUCUCUCACUGGAAUUGCCAAGUGCAGCUUUUGAAGGAAUCCAGGAUCGUAGCUCUAUUGGUUCACUGGAUCCAUCAAUACCCAAACUGUCCAUACAUCCUAUUGCUUCCCAUAAAGGUUAAGUCGAUCUUAUUCUCUCCAUCAGAUUUUGGAACAGAUGAUUCUGUUGUUUUUUAAAAUAUAGAUGAAGUUUUCUGUCUGAUCAAGAUAUAUACUCGGGAACAAUUGCUUUUGCCCAUUGAAUAUCAAGAAAACUUUCAGAGUUUCGGUUAGGUUUUACAAGUGGUGAUCAUGAAAGAUUGAGCCAGUGGCUUUGAUUUCUUUUUCUUCACGGGUUCCAGUGUUUCUGUGAGAGCCACAUUGCUGAUUCACAUUAAUGUUACAUUAAACUUUUAGGGCUGACGGGUUAUCGUUCGGAUCCGAGUCGAGUGAUUGGAUCUCGAUAGGUGAAGAUUCACAGUCCGGAUCAUAGAACGCUGCUGCGAAGAAACGAUUCAAGGCUUAGAUAAGACGCAAAGAGAUCUGUAUAUGGUAUGAAAAUCGGGAAGCAAUUCAAGUGAUGCGGAUAAGAAUACCAUAGCUGCUUCUUAAAAGAUGGACAUGUCAGUUCAACAGUGGUUCAAGGGUCCGGUGUGCCUGUUAAAAUUUCUCCGACCCUGUUCCGUCUCUUCUUUCCUUCGAUAUCUCCAUCGAUGGUUCCGACUAUGUGCUUUCUCUUCUUACGAUGGAUUCUCAGGUACGGGACAGAUAUUGCUUUGGAUAUGGUGACUCAUGUUUUAUCUCCCUAAUGAAAUUUUCUUCUCGCUCUUUGUGUAUGUUAUGCAGCUGUGCAUACCAACUUUUAAAAUAAUGUUGAAUUCAUUUUGUCUUCUUCCUGAGCAUGACUGUAUGUUGUUUGGAGUACACUACCCUCCAAAACUUCACUUGGACGUUGACAUGCAGAUAUAAUAAACACUGGUGCAAGUGUAUCACCCUUCCACCACAUCGUUCCAAGCUUGACUUUGAAGUCCUGUGUUCACAAAAGAAGUCUCAUUUGGGUCUGCAGUCGUUUUUAACAAUUGCUCGAGGGUGUAUGAUGAGAUUUUAGUAGUACCUAGACUUGCAGUUUGUUUAGUUUUUUUUUUUGGGUUCUUUUAGCCAUUGCAAGGUUUGUGAUUGCGAUUAGUUUUAGUUAGCUAAGAGUUUGUAAAAUGCACCUGGGAAAUACAGAUAAUGCAUUGCAUAUUACAGAAGCAUGUGAAGAUUUCGAGACCGAAUCAUUCUUGCACGAAGCCAUCGAUGUUGCUGCAAAACAUUAUGUUCUUGAGUGAAUUUUUAUGAGACAAGUGAGUCAUUCUCUGUUCCUCUUUGGCUGAAUUCUCAUGCAUCCUAAUGGAGCGAGAGUUGCUAUGGAAAAGCAAGCUGAAGCUAAAGUAAAAAUAGAGCUCAUAAGGUAAAAUUGCAUUGCUUAACUUUGAAAAUUUAUGUUUUCAGAUUGAACAGUUUGCUUGGUGCAGCUCAAGAAUACAGAACAGAACCUGCUUAUUAUGUGUAUCAAAAUCUGUUUAACUAACUUGAAUAAGGAACCAAGCGCAUUUCAACAUCGUUGAUAGUAAUAAAAGUUGUGUGUUUUUAUCUUC